UCGGGAUACAACGCCUGGCAGGGUCGGACGAGGACAUUCGUUUCUACACCAGAUUUGCCACAUACAAGCAUUUCCUUGCCUUUUGGAAAUUGGUGGAGCCAGCAGCCAACACCAAGAUGGUGCGGAUCACCAACGCCAAGGCAUCCUCUGCCAGCAGCUCGGAUUCCUCUCAACCAACAACAACGAAACUUCCACCCAUAGAUGAGCUGCUGCUGUUCCUCAUGCACCUGUCAGUGGGCCUACAUCUGAGGGAUCUAGCAGAACGGUUUGGCAUUCA